GACGAACGCUGGCGGCGUGCUUAACACAUGCAAGUCGAACGGUGAAGCUCCAGCUUGCUGGAGUGGAUCAGUGGCGAACGGGUGAGUAACACGUGAGCAACCUGCCCCUGACUCUGGAAUAAGCGCUGGAAACGGCGUCUAAUACUGGAUACGAGAAGGGUCCGCAUGGGCACUUUCUGGAAAGUUUUUCGGUUGGGGAUGGGCUCGCGGCCUAUCAGCUUGUUGGUGAGGUGAUGGCUCACCAAGGCGACGACGGGUAGCCGGCCUGAGAGGGCGACCGGCCACACUGGGACUGAGACACGGCCCAGACUCCUACGGGAGGCAGCAGUGGGGAAUAUUGCACAAUGGGCGAAAGCCUGAUGCAGCGACGCCGCGUGAGGGAUGACGGCCUUCGGGUUGUAAACCUCUUUCAGCAGGGAAGAAGCGAAAGUGACGGUACCUGCAGAAGAAGCACCGGCUAACUACGUG
rnacentral:rRNA from 1 species